CAGUCGCCACGGUAAUACGAAGGGUGCAAGCGUUAAUCGGAAUUACUGGGCGUAAAGCGUGCGUAGGCGGUUUGUUAAGUCUGCUGUGAAAUCCCCGGGCUCAACCUGGGAAUGGCAGUGGAUACUGGCAAGCUAGAGUGUGUCAGAGGAUGGUGGAAUUCCCGGUGUAGCGGUGAAAUGCGUAGAGAUCGGGAGGAACAUCAGUGGCGAAGGCGGCCAUCUGGGACAACACUGACGCUGAGGCACGAAAGCGUGGGGAGCAACAGGAUUAGAUACCCCAGUAGUCCCUGUCUCUUAUACA
rnacentral:rRNA from 1 species